AAUCCGGAUGUCAUUGGUUGGAUCCACCAUCAUCGAAUCACUCUCCUGGGGAAACAAAUUAUUAAGUGCUUAGAGAUACAGCUUUUUGCAUAAGAAUGACUAGUUAUUUCUGUGUGUCAAGGGGAAUCCUAGCAGAAUAAAAACGGAUGGUUUACAAUGUAAAUCCUGAAAGUUAAGUGGUGUCCUAUGUAAGACCAGAUGACACAAACCUGAUAAUGCAUCUCUUGAAGCGUUUGGGGUGAGCCCCGAGGCCUGGGUGCAGGAGUGGUUUACUGAGUGGCAAUCAUCAGCAAUGCCAUCUGGGGCAUUGGAGAAGACCCAUGCUGAGAGGACCUGCGAGAGAGCCAGUGGGUCUCAUCCAAGGCCCCCAGCCAAUGAACCUAAGAUGGGUAGAAGAUAACUGUUUUUCCUCUCCUACAAUACCCUCUCUAAUGGAGGCCGACCCAGAAUUCAGGGAGAGGGCUGUGGAGUCACAGCCACUGAACUCACCCUGGCUCCAUCCAGAAUGCUCUGGUCUGGGCUGUUUGGUAAGCUCCCCUAUGUAAAGUGAAUGCUCCAUAGUUGUUGGCAGGCUCUCUCGUUCCAAGUAUGGUUAGAAGGGUAGUCAGCCACGAGAGGCUGUGAUCUCUCUGGCCAUGCUCAAGGAGAAGGGAAAGUGGAAGGAGGUUAAGGGCAGCAGUGGGAAUGAGUCAAGGUAUUAAAGGCUGGUUCUUUUGAAGCUCUUGGCCAUACCCUGUCUCUAACAGCAGCCUCUAGGCUUUUUUGCAGGUUAAGGUGGAGUGGGAAGAAGCUAACUAAGCACAGGCUGCAAACUUGGACCAUAUUGCUUUAGACCCUGUAGACUCUUAAAAGCUUGGGGUUGUAAAAAAUAGUUGGACCAAAUUCUUCAUAUCUAUUGCAGGGAUACUGUGGUGAGCAGUGCCUCUGUAUCACUAUGUGGCUUCAGGUCCUUGUGCCACUAAAGGUGAUUUAUUCUGCACUUGUUUUGCUCCUGACUUUGUUUUGAAGAAGCUUGAUAGAAAAUGUUUAGCAUACCCCAGAAACUCUACAGGACCAUAUAAUUUGCAUUUCAUAACACUAAACCUACUCCAACCUUAUUAUUUCCUCACUGUUAUUUUCCUUUUGACUCUAGUUUUUUCAACAAUUCUUAAUUCAUCCUUUUGCAUUGUAUAUAUUUCUCCAAACCAUUUGAAAUCUUGGAACAAAGUUUUAUACUUUUGAACAGCAAGGGAUUUGCUUCUCUCUCAUAAUCAAACAUAAAAUCCCAGGGUAGAAGGCAGCUUGGAGAACAUUCAGUUCAUUGUUUUCUGAAAUUGUGGUUCUUGAACCACCUGCUUCAGGAAAUGCCUGGGGUGCUUAUUAAAAAUGCUCAGACCUACUGAAUUUGGAUCUUUAAAAGUAAAUCCCAGGAUUCUGCAGUUUCCUAACCUAACUUCCCAGAUAAUUCUUAUGCAUCCCUCAGUAAGACAACUAAGCUACCCUCAGCCUAUUUCAACUUGUGUCUGCCUGUUCAGAAAGGUACUUUAGCUUUAUCUUCAAAGAAUUCAUUGGGUAGGAAUUAACCUGCUCCUUAAUAUUUAGAAAAGAAAGGGAAACACCGAAUGUAAGUGACUUGCUUCAGGUCAUACCGGCUUUCACACCUAACUUCCUUGCUUGAUGGUUAAAUUUAUUGGAAACCAUCUUGCCCCAGCAAGGUCUCCAAGAUAGAGAAGAACAACUAGACAGCAUUAGCAGCUCAUUCAGCCCUUUGCUUUUGGGAACAAGACAGC
rnacentral:lncRNA from 1 species